rnacentral:rRNA from 1 species
UUAAGCGACUAAGCGUACACGGUGGAUGCCCUGGCAGUCAGAGGCGAUGAAGGACGUGCUAAUCUGCGAUAAGCGUCGGUAAGGUGAUAUGAACCGUUAUAACCGGCGAUUUCCGAAUGGGGAAACCCAGUGUGUUUCGACACACUAUCAUUAACUGAAUCCAUAGGUUAAUGAGGCGAACCGGGGGAACUGAAACAUCUAAGUACCCCGAGGAAAAGAAAUCAACCGAGAUUCCCCCAGUAGCGGCGAGCGAACGGGGAGGAGCCCAGAGCCUGAAUCAGUGUGUGUGUUAGUGGAAGCGUCUGGAAAGGCGCGCGAUACAGGGUGACAGCCCCGUACACAAAAAUGCACAUGCUGUGAGCUCGAUGAGUAGGGCGGGACACGUGGUAUCCUGUCUGAAUAUGGGGGGACCAUCCUCCAAGGCUAAAUACUCCUGACUGACCGAUAGUGAACCAGUACCGUGAGGGAAAGGCGAAAAGAACCCCGGCGAGGGGAGUGAAAAAGAACCUGAAACCGUGUACGUACAAGCAGUGGGAGCACGCUUCGGCGUGUGACUGCGUACCUUUUGUAUAAUGGGUCAGCGACUUAUAUUCUGUAGCAAGGUUAACCGAAUAGGGGAGCCGAAGGGAAACCGAGUCUUAACUGGGCGUUAAGUUGCAGGGUAUAGACCCGAAACCCGGUGAUCUAGCCAUGGGCAGGUUGAAGGUUGGGUAACACUAACUGGAGGACCGAACCGACUAAUGUUGAAAAAUUAGCGGAUGACUUGUGGCUGGGGGUGAAAGGCCAAUCAAACCGGGAGAUAGCUGGUUCUCCCCGAAAGCUAUUUAGGUAGCGCCUCGUGAAUUCAUCUCCGGGGGUAGAGCACUGUUUCGGCAAGGGGGUCAUCCCGACUUACCAACCCGAUGCAAACUGCGAAUACCGGAGAAUGUUAUCACGGGAGACACACGGCGGGUGCUAACGUCCGUCGUGAAGAGGGAAACAACCCAGACCGCCAGCUAAGGUCCCAAAGUCAUGGUUAAGUGGGAAACGAUGUGGGAAGGCCCAGACAGCCAGGAUGUUGGCUUAGAAGCAGCCAUCAUUUAAAGAAAGCGUAAUAGCUCACUGGUCGAGUCGGCCUGCGCGGAAGAUGUAACGGGGCUAAACCAUGCACCGAAGCUGCGGCAGCGACACUGUGUGUUGUUGGGUAGGGGAGCGUUCUGUAAGCCUGUGAAGGUGUACUGUGAGGUAUGCUGGAGGUAUCAGAAGUGCGAAUGCUGACAUAAGUAACGAUAAAGCGGGUGAAAAGCCCGCUCGCCGGAAGACCAAGGGUUCCUGUCCAACGUUAAUCGGGGCAGGGUGAGUCGACCCCUAAGGCGAGGCCGAAAGGCGUAGUCGAUGGGAAACAGGUUAAUAUUCCUGUACUUGGUGUUACUGCGAAGGGGGGACGGAGAAGGCUAUGUUGGCCGGGCGACGGUUGUCCCGGUUUAAGCGUGUAGGCUGGUUUUCCAGGCAAAUCCGGAAAAUCAAGGCUGAGGCGUGAUGACGAGGCACUACGGUGCUGAAGCAACAAAUGCCCUGCUUCCAGGAAAAGCCUCUAAGCAUCAGGUAACAUCAAAUCGUACCCCAAACCGACACAGGUGGUCAGGUAGAGAAUACCAAGGCGCUUGAGAGAACUCGGGUGAAGGAACUAGGCAAAAUGGUGCCGUAACUUCGGGAGAAGGCACGCUGAUAUGUAGGUGAAGUCCCUCGCGGAUGGAGCUGAAAUCAGUCGAAGAUACCAGCUGGCUGCAACUGUUUAUUAAAAACACAGCACUGUGCAAACACGAAAGUGGACGUAUACGGUGUGACGCCUGCCCGGUGCCGGAAGGUUAAUUGAUGGGGUUAGCCGCAAGGCGAAGCUCUUGAUCGAAGCCCCGGUAAACGGCGGCCGUAACUAUAACGGUCCUAAGGUAGCGAAAUUCCUUGUCGGGUAAGUUCCGACCUGCACGAAUGGCGUAAUGAUGGCCAGGCUGUCUCCACCCGAGACUCAGUGAAAUUGAACUCGCUGUGAAGAUGCAGUGUACCCGCGGCAAGACGGAAAGACCCCGUGAACCUUUACUAUAGCUUGACACUGAACAUUGAGCCUUGAUGUGUAGGAUAGGUGGGAGGCUUGGAAGUGUGGACGCCAGUCUGCAUGGAGCCGACCUUGAAAUACCACCCUUUAAUGUUUGAUGUUCUAACGUUGACCCGUAAUCCGGGUUGCGGACAGUGUCUGGUGGGUAGUUUGACUGGGGCGGUCUCCUCCUAAAGAGUAACGGAGGAGCACGAAGGUUGGCUAAUCCUGGUCGGACAUCAGGAGGUUAGUGCAAUGGCAUAAGCCAGCUUGACUGCGAGCGUGACGGCGCGAGCAGGUGCGAAAGCAGGUCAUAGUGAUCCGGUGGUUCUGAAUGGAAGGGCCAUCGCUCAACGGAUAAAAGGUACUCCGGGGAUAACAGGCUGAUACCGCCCAAGAGUUCAUAUCGACGGCGGUGUUUGGCACCUCGAUGUCGGCUCAUCACAUCCUGGGGCUGAAGUAGGUCCCAAGGGUAUGGCUGUUCGCCAUUUAAAGUGGUACGCGAGCUGGGUUUAGAACGUCGUGAGACAGUUCGGUCCCUAUCUGCCGUGGGCGCUGGAGAACUGAGGGGGGCUGCUCCUAGUACGAGAGGACCGGAGUGGACGCAUCACUGGUGUUCGGGUUGUCAUGCCAAUGGCACUGCCCGGUAGCUAAAUGCGGAAGAGAUAAGUGCUGAAAGCAUCUAAGCACGAAACUUGCCCCGAGAUGAGUUCUCCCUGACUCCUUGAGAGUCCUGAAGGAACGUUGAAGACGACGACGUUGAUAGGCCGGGUGUGUAAGCGCAGCGAUGCGUUGAGCUAACCGGUACUAAUGAACCGUGAGGCUUAACCUU